UAGCAUUUUACUCAUCACUUGGUUUAACAUACUAAGAGAGUUAUAAGAAGUUGAAAAGAAAAAAUGGCUUCCAAGGCUUUGAUUCUGUUUGGUCUCUUUGCAAUUAUUCUCGUUGUCUCCGAAGUGUCUGCGGCAACGCAGCCAGAGAGUGAGGAAACUGUGCACCCUGAUGGUUAUGGUGGUGGCUACAACAGAGGAGGAGGAGGAGGA